GGCCGUAAACGAUGAACACUAGGUGUCGGGGGAAUCGACCCUUCGGUGUCGUAGCUAACGCGUUAAGUGUUCCGCCUGGGGAGUACGCACGCAAGUGUGAAACUCAAAGGAAUUGACGGGGGCCCGCACAAGCGGUGGAGUAUGUGGUUUAAUUCGAUGCAACGCGAAGAACCUUACCAGGGUUUGACAUCCUGCGAACCUCUUAGAAAUUUGAGGGUGCCUUCGGGAAUGCAGUGACAGGUGGUGCAUGGCUGUCGUCAGCUCGUGUCGUGAGAUGUUGGGUUAAGUCCCGCAACGAGCGCAACCCACGUUUUUAGUUGCCAGCAUUUAGUUGGGCACUCUAGAAAGACCGCCGGUGAUAAACCGGAGGAAGGUGUGGAUGACGUCAAGUCAUCAUGCCCCUUACACCCUGGGCUACACACGUACUACAAUGCUACGGACAAAGGGCAGCAAACUCGCGAGAGCUAGCAAAUCCCAUAAACCGUGGCUCAGUUCAGAUCGUAGGCUGCAACUCGCCUACGUGAAGUAGGAAUCGCUAGUAAUCGCAGGUCAGCAUACUGCGGUGAAUACGUUCCCGGGCCUUGUACACACCGCCCGUCACACCAUGGAAGUUGGCCAUGCCCGAAGUCGUUACUCCAACCCUUGUGGAGGAGGACGCCGAAGGUGGGGCUAAUGACUGGGGUGAAGUCGUAACAAGGUAGCCGUA
rnacentral:rRNA from 1 species